CCUCACUCCACCCUCUUGGGGAGUCUGCUGGGAGGGGUGUCUGGAACUAGACACCACCUGUCUCCUAAUUUUCCCAACUCACUCUGAACUUUUCAAGUGACGGGGCAUCUGGCCUCUGGUAGGGCUGAGAGAAGUGCGUUGGGCCCAGCAUCCCACAGAGUCAGAGAUGAGCCAGGAUCAUAAGAAUCAAGGAUGCAUGUAUUGAGCCAGAGCCUGUACACGGACACUACCAGAAGGAGACACUCCAGGGGCUCAGCCACCUUAGCUCCAUUUUACAGACGAGGAAGCCGUGUCCAUGCGAUCUCACUCGUUGACCCAACCACAGGGCUCCUAAAGACAGCUAACUCUCCCUGACUCAUUUAACCUCUUGACAACACUAUUCAAGGCAUCACUACUAUAAUCUUCAUCAUCCGGGUGCUGCCUCAGUUUCUUCUGAAUAAUUACUUUCUGAGUCACCAGAGGCACUGAACUGAAUGACACAGAUGAAAGGCACCCAUUUUAUUUUGCCACCUGUUUUGAUCUGCACUCUUGCAAAGAUGAGCAAGGAAGGGUGAGAAAGACUAGCUGAAUGCCCAAAGUCAUCCUGCCAUCAGGUGACAGAGCCAGGAUCCAGCGUGAGUGACCGUCAUGUGGUUCUCAACCUAAGCUGUGAAUUAGGAUCACGUGGGGAGCUUUUGGAAAUUAGGAUGUUGUGCCCUCCCCCAGACGAACCGAGUCAGGAUCUCUGGGAUGCAGAGGGUAGAGCAUCCGUGUCUGGUAAAGCUGAUGCUCAGUGAAGGCUCAAAAUUG